rnacentral:tRNA from 1 species
GCACCCGUAGCUCAGCUGGAUAGAGCGUUGCCCUCCGGAGGCAAAGGUCAUACGUUCGAAUCGUAUCGGGUGCGCCA